GAUCGGCCCGCGUCUGAUUAGCUAGUUGGUGAGGUAACGGCUCACCAAGGCGACGAUCAGUAGCUGGUCUGAGAGGAUGAUCAGCCACACUGGGACUGAGACACGGCCCACACUCCUACGGGAGGCAGCAGUGGGGAAUAUUGGACAAUGGGCGAAAGCCUGAUCCAGCCAUGCCGCGUGAGUGAUGAAGGCCUUAGGGUUGUAAAGCUCUUUUACCCGGGAAGAUAAUGACGGUACCGGGAGAAUAAGCCCCGGCUAACUUCGUGCCGGCAGCCGCGGUAAUACGAAGGGGGCUAGCGUUGUUCGGAUUUACUGGGCGUAAAGCGCACGUAGGCGGAUCUUUAAGUCAGGGGUGAAAUCCCAGAGCUCAACUCUGGAACUGCCUUUGAUACUGGGGAUCUCGAGUUCGGGUGAGGUGAGUGGAACUGCGAGUGUAGAGGUGAAAUUCGUAGAUAUUCGCAAGAACACCAGUGGCGAAGGCGGCUCACUGGCCCGAUACUGACGCUGAAGUGCGAAAGCGUGGGGAGCAAACCGGAUUAGAUACCCUGGUAGUCCACGCCGUAAACGAUGGAUGCUAGCCGUUGGACAGCUUGCUGUUCAGGGGCGACACCUUAAGCCUUUAAGCAUCCCCGCCUGGGGA
rnacentral:rRNA from 1 species